rnacentral:tRNA from 1 species
GGUGUAAUGGUUAGCACUUCAGGCUCUGACAAUCUGAGUUCAAAUCUCAGUAGGACCU